AAUCCGUCGACUUUAAAAAUCAUGAGGGUUCAAGUCCCUCUAUCCCCA
rnacentral:tRNA from 1 species